GCGAGACGGUGGCCCACGAAACGAGCGCGACCGAUAAACUGUUCAGGUCGGCACCGGGCGCAGCCCUCGUGCCGACAGCAAAUGAUCAGCCAGCAGCCGCUGCAACCACAGGGAG
rnacentral:sRNA from 1 species